rnacentral:rRNA from 1 species
CCUACGGGAGGCAGCAGUGAGGAAUAUUGGUCAAUGGACGAGAGCCUGAACCAGCCAAGUAGCGUGAAGGAUGACUGCCCUAUGGGUUGUAAACUUCUUUUGUCAAGGAAUAAAACGAGGCACGUGUGCCUUUUUGCAGGUUCUUUAUGAAUAAGGAUCGGCUAACUCCGGUCCAGCAGCCGAGGUAAUACGGAGGAUCCGAGCGUUUAUCGGAUUUAUUGGGUUUAAAGGGAGCGUAGAUGGGUUGUUAAGUCAGUUGUGAAAGUUUGCGGCUCAACCGUAAAAUUGCAAUUGAUACUGGCAGUCUUGAGUACAGUUGAGGUAGGCGGAAUUCGUGGUGUAGCGGUGAAAUGCUUAGAUAUCACGAAGAACCCCGAUUGCGAAGGCAGCUUACUAAACUGUGACUGACAUUGAUGCUCGAAAGUGUGGGUAUCAAACAGGAUUAGAUACCCUUGUAGUC